GCAGUUGAGCGGUAGGCCCCUUCGGGGGUACACGAGCAGCGAACGGGUGAGUAUCGCGUGGGUAAUCUACCUUGAGGUGGGGGAUAGCCUCGGGAAACCGAGGGUAAUACCGCAUGAGUCCUUGACGGCAAAAGUCGACAAGGGGAAAGGCGGGGCUCCUUCGGGACCUGUCGCCUCUUGAUGAGCCCGCGUCCGAUUAGCUAGUUGGCGGGGUAAUGGCCCACCAAGGCAACGAUCGGUAGCCGGCCUGAGAGGGUGAACGGCCACAUUGGGACUGAGACACGGCCCAGACUCCUACGGGAGGCAGCAGUGGGGAAUUUUGGGCAAUGGGGGAAACCCUGACCCAGCGACGCCGCGUGGAGGAUGACGGCCCUCGGGUUGUAAACUCCUGUCAGGUGGGAAGAAGAGCCAGUCGGUUAAUACCCGGCUGGAAUUGACUGUACCACCAAAGGAAGCCCCGGCUAACUCCGUGCCAGCAGCCGCGGUAAUACGGAGGGGGCGAGCGUUAUUCGGAUUUACUGGGCGUAAAGCGCACGUAGGUGGCAUGGUAAGUCAAAGGUGAAAGCCCUCGGCUCAACCGAGGAAUUGCCUUUGAAACUGCUUUGCUUGAGUCCG
rnacentral:rRNA from 1 species